rnacentral:snoRNA from 1 species
AAGCUAGCUCAUCUGGUCGUCUGAAUGUGUUUCUGUAGAGAUUUAGAAGCAGCUGGCAACAGUGAUGCCAUGGUACAAGCUGAAGAGCAGCCAAGGUAGCCCGGGUCCCUGAAAACAGCUGAAAUA